rnacentral:misc_RNA from 1 species
UUUCUGUAGGUGAACCUGCAGAAGGAUCAUUAUUGAAUUGUAAAAUGGAGAGUCGCUUUCGAGCACUCUUCUACAUUCUUUAUUCCUAAACACCUGUGAAUCGUUGCUGAGUUCGCUCAGUGGCACCAUUUAUACACACACUUUAUAGUUUUGAACGUAAAAAACAAAAAACAAAAAUAUAACUUUUGACAACGGAUCUCUUGGUUCUCCCAUCGAUGAAGAACGCAGC